CUUCAUGUCUACUCCUAAACCUCUUCAAUCCUUUCCCUCCUUUUUGCACUACAUCACCGUUGGUUUAAUUUCUUCUGACGCUUGGGGCAUGAAGCUCUCGCCGCAUGCCCACAUCCAUGUUGCAUAUUUCCUGAAGCGGUAGCAGGCCAGGACUUCAUCAUUGGAGUUCUUCCGUGGGCAGGAGCUAGAGAGAGAUUCGCGAUGCCGCAAGUAAACGGUGCCGCCGGACCAAGCGCUAGUAGUGAUGUUGCGGCAGCCACGGCUUCAACGAAGCGCAACAAGCCUCAGUAUCAUGCAUUUACUCAGCAACAACUUCCAGCAUGCAAGCCUAUACUGUCACCCCAUAUGGUCAUUCCCGUGCUUGCAUUCGUGGGCUUAGUUUUCAUUCCGAUUGGCCUUGCUUGCAUCGCAGCUUCAAACAAGGUCGUUGAAGUAGUUUACCGAUAUGACACGAAAUGUGUACCAGGGAACAUGCUUCACAACAAAGUCGCCUACAUCCAAAAUGCGUCAAUAGAUAAGACCUGCACAAUUGUUCUCAAGGUCCCCAGGGAUAUGAAGAGGCCAAUCUUCAUAUAUUAUCAACUUGACAAGUUCUACCAAAACCACAGAAGGUACACGACGAGCCGCAGCGACAUGCAGCUGAGAGACCCCAAGCAGGCAGCUGCCAUUACAGAGUUCUGCAAGCCCGAAGCCUAUGCCGCCAAUGGCAGCCCAAUCGUCCCCUGCGGGCUCGUGGCAUGGAGCCUCUUCAACGACACCUACAGCUUCGCCCGUCGCCGUCGUCGCGGCUCCCACGCCGAGGCGCUGACGGUGAUCAAGACCGGGAUCUCAUGGCGGAGCGACAGGGGCCACGUGUUCGGCAACCACGUCUUCCCCAAGAACUUUCAGAACGGCAGCCUCGUCGGCGGCGGGCAGCUCGAUCCGACAAAACCCCUGAGCCAGCAGGAGGAUCUGAUGGUGUGGAUGCGCACGGCGGCGUUGCCGAGGUUCAGAAAGCUGUACGGGAGGGUGGAGGCGGACCUGGGCGCCGGCGAGCUACUCGCCGUGGAGGUGCGGAACAACUACAACUCUUACAGCUUCGCCGGGACGAAGGCGGUUGUGCUUUCCACCGCGGGGCUGCUCGGAGGGCGGAACGCCUUCCUCGGCCGCGCCUACGUCGUCACCGGUGUGGCAUGCUUCGCGCUCGCGCUGCUGCUCACGCUGCUCUGCCUCGUCUUCCCCAUGAGGGAGGAGCAUCUUCUGCUACGCGGUAGCCACAUCGGCCGCUGAUCGGUUAUUACUUAUUACUCAGGUUGUUCUUCGUUUUUCACCAAUUGAUGGAGGAUUGGUGGUGAUUAAACCUGGUUAUAGCAGAUAAGCAUGUGAGUUGGUAGUUUGAUGUAAAGUACAGUGCACGGAUCUGAAGGUAAAACCCAGAGUGUGCCAUGUACACUGUGAGAGAAGGCGCCUUAGCAGACCAGUUUAUAUUUAGAAAAAGACAUUAAAUAUAGGUGAUACAAUGUAUUAUCUCUUAUUAUUACCUUUAGCAAUUAAUGUAAAUUAAUUAAUUUUA